AGGACCUAAGGGACAUCAUGUGAUGCAUGCUUUAUUAGAAAUAGCUUUAGGUUCAGUAGACAAGAUUGAUACUGUCUGAUUAUAAUUUAACAUUGAAAUACAAAUUUACAAAUGAUUUUUGGUAGGUUCAAAGGUGCACUAAUUACACUGCAGUGUUCCUAAACAACCAAUACAACUGCAUGAGGUUCUCUGCUGCCCCCGCUAGAUCUGGAGCUGACCGAUGUGAUGGAAAAUACUGGAGGUUGAGUUUCAUCUAAGAUUUUGGAAACAGACUGUGCCAAGACUAAGCGUCAAGAGCUUAGCAGUGCCCUUCAGAUGGACAGACACAGGAACAUGGCAGGCCUCCUUUUCUGACACCAGACCCAUGUGCGUCAUUUACACCCGGUGCCGCGGCCUCCGCGGACUCUCGUCUUCCACACAAGACCCUCUGCUGUUCUAAAUGAUUAGAGCAUAGUGGCUAACUGGCACCUGGACCCCACUGAACUCCACGGCCACUGUUUUUGAGUUUUUUGAGUUUUUAUCACUGGUGGAGGGCAAGGAAGUCUGUUAAGGAACAGAUAGGACACAGGAGUUGCAGAUAGGGCUUUGAAUCACAUGAGGUAUAAGUAGCCAUUUUUAUUUUAUUUUAAAGUUAUUUUAUAAUUUUUUUUUAUUUUAUAAAGUUAUACGUUGUUUUAUACUAUUUUACAC